GGGUCAGUAGGUUGGUCGUGCCACCGGUACGUACUGGUCUCACUGAUUCCUCCUUCCUGAAGAACUGUAAUGCCAUUAAUUUGGUGUUGCGGGGAAACAGGACUGUUACUUUGAAAAAAUUAGAGUGUUUAAAGCAAGCUAACGCUUGAAUACAUUAGCAAGGAAUAAUGAAAUAGGACGAUCGAUCCUAUUUUGUUGGUUUCUAGGAUUGACGUA
rnacentral:rRNA from 1 species